CGAAAACAGUACUGUUUGGUGGAAGUCUUGCAAGAAAUUUCUAAAUCAUAACUAAUCUGUGUAAACCAUCCAUCUUUUCUUUGCUUUAACUAACUCUAUUUGCUUGCCAGUUUCUCUAUCUUUGCUUUAAUGAAAAUCGGUCAAAAAUAGUACACCUUUUACUUUUUCUUGCCAAGAACAAGCAUAAAAAAUAUAGAGAAUUGAAGAAUGCAAAUAAAACACUAGAGAAUUAGUGCUCUCUCUUUUUCUCCAAAUACCUAACUUCCUGUAUCAUCUUCACCAUGUAGGCCCGAGUGCAAGUUAGUUCAAAGGAUUGUUGAAGAUGUUUUAUUGAAAUUGCCUAAAUAUAUCUCAAAUGAGCAUUUCUAUGGGCACCUCAUUGGGAUUGGAAAAAAAGUCGAAGAAAUUGAAUUGUCAUUAUCCAUUGGGUCAACAGAUGUUCAUAUUGUAGGAAUUUGGGGGAUGGGAGGUAUUGGUAAGACUACUCUUGCUAGUGUUGUAUAUCAAAGAUUAUCAUAUUCUCAAUUCAAAGGUUGCUGCUUUAUUUGGAAUGUUAGGGAAGAAUAUGCAAGACAUGGGGCCAAUCAUUUAAGAAAAAAACUUUUAUCUGAGUUGUUAAACGAUGAAGCUAUUCUAAAGAUGGAUUCCCCAUUUGUAGCAUCUCCAUGUAUUCUUGAUAGACUUAGACAUACAAAGGUACUCAUUGUUCUGGACGAUGUGGAUAGUUCAAACCAAUUAGAAGCUUUAGUUGAAGGGUAUUAUCGGCUUGCCCCUGGAAGUAGAAUCAUUGUUACAACUAGAAAUAUGCAGGUGCUAAAGAAAGUGACUGAUAGAUUUUACAAGGUUGAGCUAUUAAAUCACGCUGAAUCUCUUGAACUCUUCCGUUUACAUGCUUUUGGCAAAAAUUCUCCAGUAAUUGAUGAUGAAAUGGUGUUAGAAGUGACAAGAUAUGCAAAUGGAAAUCCAUUAGCUCUUAAGGUCUUGGGUUCUUUCCUUCACUCCAAAAGCAAAGAAGAAUGGAAAAUUGCAUUGAAUAAAUUGAAAAUAAUUCCAAACCGAGAAAUCCAAGAUGUGUUGAAAAUAAGUUAUGAAGGACUGGAUGAUAAAGAGAUUCAAAGUAUAUUUCUUGACAUUGCAUGUCUAUUUGAUCAAUCUUUUACAAGAGAUCAUGUAGAAAGCAUAUUAAAGGCCAGUGAUCCGUUUGUGAAAAUAGCAAUAAGUGUUCUCAUCGAUAGGUCUUUAAUUGAAAACAGGGUAAGUCCUAUAGGAAACAAGUUAUGGAUGCAUGAUUUGAUACGACAAAUGGGUCGAACAAUUGUUUGUGAUGAACAUAAAGAGCCUGGAAAUCGCAGUAGGUUGUGGGAUCCUAAAGACAUCUGCCACGUAUUGGAAAGAGAUACAGGAACUGCAAUGGUUGAAGGCAUAUCGCUCAACAUGUGUAGAAUGAACAGAGAUGUGAAAGUUCAUCGUGCCGCCUUUUCUAUGAUGUACAAUCUACGAAUUUUCAAAAUCUUUGUUUGCCAUAAUAUGAAUGAGAAUAAGUGGUACAUUUGUGACUGUAAAGACAAGAAUAAGUUCAAACUAUACCUUCCUCAAGGUCUUGAUUCUUAUCUUUCUGAUAAGCUAAAUUAUUUUCAAUGGGAUCUAUACCCUUUGAGAUCGUUGCCAUCACAUGUCAGCUUGGAGAAUCUUGUUGAACUGAUUCUACGUGGCAGCCGUCUUCAAAGACUUUGGAAUCAUGGAGUUCAGUCUCUACUGGUAUUAAGAAAGAUCGACCUUAGUUAUUCCAAGAUGCUUAAUGAAAUACCAGAUAUGUCUCUUGCUCCAAAUCUGGAAAGCAUAAAUUUUGAAGGCUGUACAAGUUUGGUUAAGGUUCUUUCAUCUGUUGAAAAUCUGCACAGGCUUACUUAUCUAAAUUUGAAUAGUUGCUCCAAACUAAGAGAUCUGAAAGAGAUAUCAAGGAACACAUGGUAUUGGGAUAUUGUAAACUUUAUAAACAACUUACCUCUCUACUCAUCUCAGGCCCACAUUUAUCAGACGUUUCCAGUGAACUUAACAGACUUACAUUUGGAUUGGACAGCAAUAGAAGAAGUGCCCCCAUCAAUUUGGCAUCUCUCUAGUCUUGUUCGAUUGGAUUUGAAUUAUUGCUCUGGACUUGAAAGUAUUUCUACCAGCAUCUGUAAGUUGAUAUCUCUUGAAUCUCAAAGAUUGUGUGGUUGUGUAAAACUAUUUAAGUUUCCGGAAAUCUUAGAGCCUAUGGAACAUCUUACAUAUCUUGAAUUAGGUCACUCACCGAUUCAAGAGUUACCAGAGUCAAUUAAAAAUCUAGUUUCUCUCAGAAGAUUAUGUAUCUUUAGCUGUAAAAACAUUGAGUUUCUCCCCACCAGCCUGUGUAAUUUAAGAAAACUUGAGCAUAUAAACAUCCAGAGGUGCUCAAACCUUAAAAAGUUGCCUCCCCUUCCAAAUGCUUCACUCAGUUUGUUGUUAGACCAUAAUGAAAGGCUGAAAUCAUUACCUGAGCUUCCAUCAUCAUGUUUUUGUCUGUCUGCAAUAUGCUGCACGUCACUAGAGACCAUACCAAAUUGGAAGGCUCCAUUAUUACACCAUCUAAGUAGCAAUCAUAGUCGAGGGCAAAUCAACUUUUAUGGUUGUGAAAAAUUGGAUCAGAAUACACGCAACAUCAUACUGGCUGGCCGUGGAAUAUUUCAAAUUCUGUCUGGUUUAAAAUUUGGAAGAAUGUGUGACGAUUUUGAAUUUUGUUAUCCUGGCGAUGAAAUUCCAAAGUGGUUCAGCUACCAAAGUGGCAGUACCUCAAUGAAUAUUAGGCUUCCUCCAUAUUGGAAUAAUGACAACUUCUUGGGUUUGGCUUUCUGUGUUGUUAUUUACCAGCAUAAAAUUAUCGACCAUCCUCUGUUUCUCGGAAUUGGUUGUAAACUCAAUUUCAAAACCAUCCCUGAUAGUCUUCUGUGUGAGCAUGAUUCUUUUAUGCGUCUUGGGGGCGACGACGAUAGUUCAGAUCACGUGGUCAUGUGGUAUGUCGAAGAACUGACUUUGCAAAAUUCAGGACUAAGUUGGCGCUCAAAUUGUUGCACCAUGGCCUGUUUACAUUUGUCGCUUGAAUGUGGAUACUGUCAUGAUGUUGAUGAGGAUGUUAACGUCAAUUACAAUGAUGAUACCUACAUAGAUGGAAAUGAAUAUGGGGAGAUUAAGAAAUUUGGGGUUUGGUUUGUAUACAAGGAAGAUAUAGAGAGAUUUGAUGUAGAUACUAAAAGUAAAAAUAAGAGACGCUUUGACGAAUGUUGCGAAACCAGUGGAAGUGAAGGCUCUCAUGGUAUAGAAAAUGAUGUAUUGCAUUCGAAGAAACUCAAGGUUAUGUCACUUAUAUGACUGUUAAGAGAUUAUAGAGCAAUUGAAUGUUGAGGAGCCCAAAAAAUAAAAAAAUAAAAAUUCUGUGCUACAACUAAACUAAGAAGCAGGCUUUGAUCAUGAAUUGAGAUUAUGUAGCCAGUUUCUCGGUGAUCUGUGACCACUUAGUUUCAGGCUAUGAAGAAACUGUGUACCUAUGCAGCAUGAGUGCAUGACAGCCUUAACAUUGAAAUUACAAAGUUCUCUUCCCCUUGUUAUUUUUCUGAUCUUGGCAUAGAAAACCCUGUUUGUGUGAUAUCAAUAUGAAUUUCUUUCACUACGAACCAUUUUACAUAUAUUUGGAGAGAAAAUUAAAUAAAAUAUAGAAUGUAUUACUUUUUGCAUAUGAUUCUGAGUUGUUUGUGAUGAAUUUUUUUUGUGUAAAAUACAUUGAGUUGAACAUUCUUAUCUUUCUGAGUUUAUAAUAUUUAUCUAUUUGAUUUAAUUUCCUUGUUUGAUACUAUUCUGUGCCAAAGUGUUAGAUAAAAUGUGUUUAUGCAUAGUUGGUCAUUUUUGUAUUUUGAAUUGUUUGCCUAAAUGAGUACUCUUUCCAUUACUAGCUAAACAAUAGAUUCUGACUCAGCAUUUAGAUUUGAUUUUGCAUUGGAUAAAAAGGUAAUUUCGAAAGGAAAAGUUUUUUUUUCUUUUGUUUGAAAUGAUAUAAAGAGAGGGAAAAUAAAAAAUAAAAAAUAAAGUUGUUAUGAAAAGCAUUUUGAUGGAUUUUUCAUUUAUCGGUUUGUGUUUUUUUAUAGAUUUAGGCUAUGAAGAAUCCAUCACAACACAGCUUCAUAGGAAUGGUGUAGCAUCAAUUUCUUUAACUUCUAAUACUAUGAGUCAUUUUGCAGAGAAGUGAACACAAUAUAGAAAUAUAUUACAUAUGGAUAUGAUUCUGUAAUAAGACAAGUUAUAUGGUUAAGCAAUUUUGCUAUAGUACCGUUCACAUCCACGUUAUCAAGGUAACUCCUUUCCCCAUUAAGUAAUGAAGUUGCCGCUGUUACCGAAAUUACAUAUUAUUUUUUUAACAUUAAGUAAUUGAUACAAUAUGCAGAGCUUAAACCAGAGUUAACUCAAACUUAGCUAAUUAACCGUCUGACUCAGCUUUGAUAAAAAACAGAGUUAGUGAUCAAUGUUACAACCACAUAUACCCAAUAAGACCGGCAUUGACUGCUGACUUUGUGACUUCUUGUUUGUUUUUUACUUUUUUUUUUUUUUUUUUCAAACAACUUGUAGUUCACGAGGAGAGCUAGAAUUUAAACAAUUCUUGAAUCUUCUCCUUUUACACUUUUCCGCCCUUUUUUUUUUCUUUUAUACAUAUUUUAGAACCAAAUAUGGGAUUUUAAAAUCCUUGCACUUUUUGUUUCCUUUUAUUCCUCACUAUAUUUUCUCUGCUUAUAAUCAAAAGUGUUAUCUUUAUUGAUCUCUGUUUAAGUCUGAGUUACUAUGUUUUUCUCCUGUCUCCCAGCUUGAGGAUCCCUUAAUAGCUGGACUAGGACUUUAUAUUUAGACUAAGACUUUAUAUUCAAAAGAUACACUCAUAUCGGCAUUGACCGCCGACUUUAAACUCGGACUUUAUAUUCACAUAUCGGCAUUGACCGCUGACUCACACUUAUAAGUGUUAUCUAGGUUUUUUGGUCGACAAUUUGCAGCUUACUGAGGGGGGAAGAGAGAGAGCGAGAGAGAGAGAGAGAGAGAGAGAGAAUCUACAUUAUAAAGUUCUCCAUAUUGAGCUUUGUAUCUACACCAUUCUUCACUAAGAAAGCUUUAAUUUGUAAACAUGGCUUCUUCUUCUUCUUGUCUUUCUUCCGCAAUCUUUCCUCAACAAAAGCAUGAGAUUCAAGAAAAAUAUUAUGUGUUUCUUAGUUUUAGAGGUGAAGACACCCGCCAUCAAUUUGUAAGCCAUCUUUAUGCUGCUUUAUCUGCAAAGCAUAUUUCAACUUUCAUGGAUGAUCAUGAACUUCAGAUCGGUGAUGAAAUUUCACACACACUUAGCAAAGCAAUCCAUGAUUCCAAAAUCUGGAUUAUCAUUUUCUCAUAAAAUUAUGCUUUCAUCUAUGUGGUGUUUGAAUGAACCGGUGGAAAUUCUUGAAUGCAAGAAAAGGAAUGAGCAGAGUGUUGUCAUUCCAAUCUUUUAUGGUAUAGAUCCAUCGGAUGUACGAAAACAGGAGGGAAGUUGUAAAGUUGCAUUUGCUAAACUUGAAGAACGUUUUAAAGACGGAAUGGAGAAGAUGCAUCAAUGGAGGGCUGCAAGACAGAAGCGUCUAAUCUAUGUGGAUUGGAUUCAAAGAGUUUCAUAUUUCCUCCAUUUUUGAACACCGCAUCUGCAAAACAAACUGUAAAGAAGCAGCCAAAUACGAGGUCACGAAACCAUCUGUUUUCACCUUCUACCCAAUUCAGGUCUCCAAUCGCAUUUCUUCAAUAGAUCUCGGCUCUUGGAGUCAGGUUUCCUUCUCUUCUCUUCCUCCUCUUCUCUCCAUUUACACCCCUGCUCUCUCUCUCUCUCUCCCUCUCUCUCUUUUAUCUUCUUCAACCUCUGGAAAACCUAGCUUACAGUUUCUUUUCAAAUAGCAAGGGGUUUGAAUUAUCUACAUGAGAAUUAUAAAUUGAAGAUGGCACAUAGGGGUAUUAAAACUGCUAAUAUCCUUGUUGGUGAUGCUCUAAACGCUAAGAUAUCAGACUUUGCUAAUAUCCUUGUUGAUGAUGCUCUAAACGCUAAGAUAUCAGACUUUGGGAAUCCUAUCCUUUAUGCAGAGGAUGGAUAGGACAAUGAAUUUAAGGUCAUCAAAGUAAAAGCAACACGUGGAUACAUCAUAAAUGGCUCUUGAGUACCCAAUGUACGGAAAGAUAUCGCAAACAUACUAUGUCUAUGGUUAUGGUGUUGUUGUACUUGAAAUUGUUAGUGCGAAGAAAAAUGCAGAAAAUAAAUUCAACCAGAAGCAACAUGAGUUUCUGGCAGAGGAGAAUCAAAACACAAGCUGCUGGAAUUAGUGGAUAAUUGACCAUCUUAACAUUAGCAGUGAAGUGCACCAAUAUAUUCACCACUGUCAGACCCACAACGUCUGAUGUUGUAAGUUCUCUCACUGGCUGUUAGAGAAUAGUUAGUACAACUGAUGUUUAAAACAUUUAACAUAUCGAGCUUCUAUGCUUCAGAGCAAGCAGUAUUGUCACUCUAUGCAGUAGGAUGAAUCUCAGGAUGCACUGUUGAUAUUGGCCAUGGAAAGAUAGCAUUGGAGAAGCAAGUAAUAGAUCCAGUAGAAAAUUGAAGCACAAAAUUUGCAAUCGUAGAGUUACAAGUGCAUGCUAAGAAAAUUACAUACACAUUCACAGAGAUAGAGAAAGAGAGAGAUAAAUAGAGUUCUUCCGGAGGAAGUAUGCUCAUGAGGCUUACAACAAAGAACUAAGCAUAUGAGCUGGGUGGUGAUGCAUUUUUCUUUACUUUUGUCAUGUUUAUAGAUGCAUUUUUUUUUUCUUUCUAAUAUUAGCCUUUGAGUAGUAAAGAUAAUGGUGAAUUAUAAUGUUCAUUUAACGAAGAUAACGAUGUGUUAUUGAUGUAAUGAUAACUAAUUGACCUUAUUGAAAAUGUGCCAUGUUUAUUUAUUAGAAUUCCAUUA